UACGUAGGGACGAGCGUUGUCCGGAUUCAUUGGGCGUAAGCGCGCGUAGGCGGCCGGAAAGUCGGAUGAUUGAAACCUGGGCUCAACCCAGGCGUGCACCGAUACUCCGGGCUGGAGGCAGGUAGGGGAGAUCGGAAUUCCUGGUGUAGCGGUGAAAUGCGCAGAUAUCAAGGAGGAACACCGGUGGCGAAGGCGGAUCUCUGGGCCUUGCCUGACGCUGAGGCGACGAAAGCUAGGGGAGCGAA
rnacentral:rRNA from 1 species